CCUACGGGCGGCAGCAGUGGGGAAUAUUGGACAAUGGGCGAAAGCCUGAUCCAGCCAUGCCGCGUGUGUGAAGAAGGCCUUCGGGUUGUAAAGCACUUUCAGUGGGGAAGAAAGCCUUGGGGCUAAUACCCUCGAGGAAGGACAUCACCCACAGAAGAAGCACCGGCUAACUCCGUGCCAGCAGCCGCGGUAAUACGGAGGGGGCGAGCGUUAAUCGGAAUUACUGGGCGUAAAGCGCGCGUAGGCGGUCUGAUAAGCCGGUUGUGAAAGCCCCGGGCUCAACCUGGGAACGGCAUCCGGAACUGUCAGGCUAGAGUGCAGGAGAGGAAGGUAGAAUUCCCGGUGUAGCGGUGAAAUGCGUAGAGAUCGGGAGGAAUACCAGUGGCGAAGGCGGCCUUCUGGACUGACACUGACGCUGAGGUGCGAAAGCGUGGGUAGCAAACAGGAUUAGAUACCCCGGUAGUC
rnacentral:rRNA from 1 species